rnacentral:rRNA from 1 species
GACGAACGCUGGCGGCGUGCUUAACACAUGCAAGUCGAACGGAAAGGCCCUGCUUUUGUGGGGUGCUCGAGUGGCGAACGGGUGAGUAACACGUGAGUAACCUGCCCUUGACUUUGGGAUAACUUCAGGAAACUGGGGCUAAUACCGGAUAGGAGCUCCUGCUGCAUGGUGGGGGUUGGAAAGUUUCGGCGGUUGGGGAUGGACUCGCGGCUUAUCAGCUUGUUGGUGGGGUAGUGGCUUACCAAGGCUUUGACGGGUAGCCGGCCUGAGAGGGUGACCGGCCACAGUGGGACUGUGUUACGGCCCAGACUCCUACGGGAGGCAGCAGUGGGGAAUAUUGCACAAUGGGCGGAAGCCUGAUGCAGCAACUCCGCGUGCGGGAUGACGGCCUUCGGGUUGUAAACCGCUUUCGCCUGUGACGAAGCGUGAGUGACGGUAAUGGGUAAAGAAGCACCGGCUAACUACGUG